CAACAUUCUGUUUGUUAGUUAUGUUGGGCUGGUGCUUCUCAAAGAAAUCCCGGCACUCAUUCCCUUUUUCCAUGUUGCAUUUUAUCACGUCCCUGGUAACCUCCUCCCUGUCUUCCUUUUCCUCGGUGGACUGCACUUCAACAAUCACCUUCUACUGUUCACUCUGGAAUUCAACAAGUUCUUCCAUUCGCAGCUCUUCCUUAUGGCCCUCAACGAGCUCCUCUAUGUCUGCACCAUCGAUGUCCAGACCCAUCCUCUUGCCCAUGGACACAGUCUCCUCCACUGCCUGUGCAUCUGGCCCUUCAAAGCCACAUUCAGUGACACAUUCUGGCCGCAGUUUCUCCAGGCUGAUUUAGGGUCUACUGCCUUAUGAGGCAGGAGAGUAAGAAACAUACUG
rnacentral:lncRNA from 1 species